UACAGAGGUCUCAAGCGUUGUUCGGAUUCAUUGGGCGUAAAGGGUGUGUAGGUGGCGCCGUAAGUCGGGUGUGAAAUUUCGGAGCUUAACUCCGAAACUGCAUUCGAUACUGCCGUGCUUGAGGACUGGAGAGGAGACUGGAAUUUACGGUGUAGCGGUGAAAUGCGUAGAUAUCGGGAGGAACACCAAUGGCGAAGGCAGCUCGCUGGGACGUUACUGACGCUGAGACGCGAAAGCGUGGGGAGCAAACAGG
rnacentral:rRNA from 1 species